rnacentral:rRNA from 1 species
UAGGGAAUCUUCCGCAAUGGGCGAAAGCUUGACGGAGCAACGCCGCGUGAGUGAUGAAGGUCUUCGGAUCGUAAAACUCUGUUAUUAGGGAAGAACAAAUGUGUAAGUAACUAUACACGUCUUGACGGUACCUAAUCAGAAAGCCACGGCUAACUACGUGCCAGCAGCCGCGGUAAUACGUAGGUGGCAAGCGUUAUCCGGAAUUAUUGGGCGUAAAGCGCGCGUAGGCGGUUUUUUAAGUCUGAUGUGAAAGCCCACGGCUCAACCGUGGAGGGUCAUUGGAAACUGGAAAACUUGAGUGCAGAAGAGGAAAGUGGAAUUCCAUGUGUAGCGGUGAAAUGCGCAGAGAUAUGGAGGAACACCAGUGGCGAAGGCGACUUUCUGGUCUGUAACUGACGCUGAUGUGCGAAAGCGUGGGGAUCAAACAGG